AGGGAGCUGCCGAAGGUGGGAUAAGCGACUGGGGUGAAGUCGUAACAAGGUAGCCGUAGGAGAACCUGCGGCUGGAUCACCUCCUUU
rnacentral:ncRNA from 1 species